UACAGAGGGUGCAAGCGUUAAUCGGAAUUACUGGGCGUAAAGCGCACGUAGGCGGUUUUUUAAGUCAGAUGUGAAAGCCCCGGGCUCAACCUGGGAAUUGCAUUUGAAACUGGGAAACUAGAGUACGUGAGAGGGGGGUAGAAUUCCAAGUGUAGCGGUGAAAUGCGUAGAGAUUUGGAGGAAUACCAGUGGCGAAGGCGGCCCCCUGGCACAACACUGACGCUCAGGUGCGAAAGCGUGGGGAGCAAACAGG
rnacentral:rRNA from 1 species